CAGUCGCCGCGGUAAUACGUAGGUGGCAAGCGUUGUCCGGAAUUAUUGGGCGUAAAGCGCGCGCAGGUGGUUUAAUAAGUCUGAUGUGAAAGCCCACGGCUCAACCGUGGAGGGUCAUUGGAAACUGUUAAACUUGAGUGCAGGAGAGAAAAGUGGAAUUCCUAGUGUAGCGGUGAAAUGCGUAGAGAUUAGGAGGAACACCAGUGGCGAAGGCGGCUUUUUGGCCUGUAACCGACACUGAGGCGCGAAAGCGUGGGGAGCAAACAGGAUUAGAGACCCCCGUAGUCCCUGUCUCUUAUAC
rnacentral:rRNA from 1 species